rnacentral:misc_RNA from 1 species
UGACGAUGAGCUUCAGUUCUCGGUGGGAUCGUAUGAAGAAUUUUCCUGUGAGUUAUUUCUACGAGUACCCCACUUGUGGAUGCGGAUUUGAUUGUGACCGCUGAAAACGAGAAAGAUGGAUGUCAAUCGUCGUCGACCACUGUUAACAUUAAAGAGAGAAACGGCAUCGUAGUAUAUGGUCCAGCAAAGGUCGUGUUUUCCUGGUCUCACAUGCGUGUCUGAUUUUUCUUCCGUUCUGCAUAAUCUGAUUAAUUGCAUCUCUUUUCGAUGGCUGCCAAAUAAGUCCAGCCCAACUUUCCCGAAAACUAACAAAAUUAGUAUCUCCUGUGUCGUCCUAAAAAUAAAACACCCCUGACCCUGUAGACCCAAAAAAUAAACCGCCAUUCAGACUGAGACCCACAGCCAUUUCUCUCGCGGCCAUUUCCACCCUCUUCCUCCUUUCAUUGCUUGCUGCCUCAUCCCCCUACGCCAACGUUGACGAUAUGCAGACAGUGUAUGAGAUCGUCACCGGAUAGGAGGAUACAGCUUCCUAUUGAUUUCCUCCGUGAAGAGAACAAGAGAAAUGAAAGAGAAAAAAAACUUCUAAUUUAAUUUGUGUUGUUUGAGUAGAUUAUUAGAAGAUAUAUUUGUAUUUAAAUUCAUUUCUCG